rnacentral:rRNA from 1 species
AGAGUUUGAUCAUGGCUCAGAAUAAAUGCUAUUGGUAUGCUUAACACAUGCAAGUUGAAUGUCUUUUUAUAAAGGCAUAGCGAACGGGUGAGUAACGCGUGAAUUAUCUACCUUUUAAUUCAGGAUAAUUAUUUCAUAUAAAAAUACUGAAUAAAUAAAUUAAAGUUUUAGAAACGUUAAAAGAUGAGUUUGCGUAAGAUUAGGUAGUUGGUAGUUUAAAAGACUACCAAGCCGACUAUCUUUAGCUGGUUUGAAAGAAUGAUCAGCCACAUUGGGACUGAGACACGGCCCAAACUUUUUUAAAGGCAGCAGUGGGGAAUUUUGGACAAUGAGCGAAAGCUUGAUCCAGCAAUACCAAGUGAGUGAAGAAGGCUAAUUAGGUUGUAAAGCUCUUUUAUUAAGGAGGAAAAUGACAGUACUUAAAGAAAAAGUUCCGGCUAAUACCCGUGCCAGCAGCCGCGGUAAUACGGGAGGAGCGAGCAUUAUUCGGAAUGAUUAGGCGUAAAGGGUUUGUAGGUGGUUUUUUAAGUUGAAAAAAACAAAUUAAAGCUCAACUUUAUAAAUUUUUUCAAAACUGAGAAACUUGAGUAUAAAUAGAGGAUAAUGGAAUUUCUAUUGGAGGGAUAAAAUAUGUUGAUAAUAGAAGGAAGACCAAGAGCGAAAGCAAUUAUCUGGGUAUAUACUGACACUGAGAAACGAAAGCUUGGGGGAGCGAACGGGAUUAGAGACCCCGGUAGUCCAUGCUGUAAACGAUGAGUGCCCAUAUUUAGAGUUUUUUAGAUAUCAAGCUAACGCGUUAAGCACUCCGCCUGAAAAGUAUAAUCGCAAGAUCGAAACUCAAAGGAAUUGACGG